rnacentral:rRNA from 1 species
UACGGGGGGGGUAAGCGUUGUUCGGAAUUACUGGGCGUAAAGGGCUCGUAGGCGGCCAACUAAGUCAUACGUGAAAUCCCUCAGCUUAACUGGGGAACUGCGUGUGAUACUGGAUGGCUUGAAUCCGGGAGAGGGAUGUGGAAUUCCAGGUGUAGCGGUGAAAUGCGUAGAUAUCUGGAGGAACACCGGUGGCGAAGGCGGCAUCCUGGACCGGUAUUGACGCUGAGGCGCGAAAGCUAGGGGAGCAAACGGG